UUCUACCCCAACUUGUCUAUCACGGUGAUGUGAUCACAGCACCUCUCAAGUGUACUGCUCGGUGGGGGGUCAGAGCAAAGUCAUGGCCGGCUGGGACCCCAGGCCCCCUUGCUCCCCACAGGAAGGGUCCCCAUGCUAGAGGGGAGUCCUUUCAAUUUGGGGCUCAGCAUCGGCAGUGGAAACCCCAGCCAUCCCCAUGCUUGGCCUCAUAGGAGCGACCAAGAGGGAAUACUACCAUUUGGUCCCUUCCCUUAGGGAGUUUGCAAUCUAAUCUAAAAGACCAGAACACUCUGUCAAAUACAGCCUGAACCAGGACCCAUUCCCAGAGGCAACUGCCAAACUGACCAACUGUUUGUAGAGUGACAUCCUUCCUCUACGGCCCCCUCUCAGUUAUAAAGUGAGUAAGAAUUUAGUAAAAAAAAAAAAAAAAAAGUGAAGGAGACAGAAUCGGGCCAAUCCCCCAUGUCCAGCUCACCGGCUUCCCCGCUCCCCCUUUCCUGGACGACACUUAAAAAGAAAAAGGACAACCCUUCUUCACUAGUACCAGCAGGGUAACCUGAGAAACAUCCCUUUAGCGCAUCUGUCCCUGUGAAAAGGACCUUUCAGUGACACUGAGCUGAGUGUAUCCCGCUCUAUUUAUAGGCACUGUUUGUUUAAUUUGAGUCCGGUCUCUAAGAAUAAAUAAUGAACUCAUCCUGGGGACAAGCCAGAGCCUACAACUCUGAGGCGACCCGUAAAUCCCUUUUCCUUUCCUUCUGGUUCUGGAAGGGAUUCUGUAGUUCAAUGUGAUUGGCUCAGGGAUGGCCAUAUAACCCAGUCAAAGCCCAUGAAACACAAGAAGACACUUCUUGGUAACAUCUGACCAAAAGAAGUUUCCUCUCUCUUCCUUGGAAGCUGUCAGUAUGGGGAUGUAAGGUCUAGAUCCACUGCUACAGCCAUUUGUGACCAUGGAGGAAGAUUCUGGAACUGCUAGAUUGUUGGGGAGCACAGCAUGGUGCCCGAGGAUGAAGCCGACACCACAGAAGAUGGAGCUGAGAGAUGGAGCAAACUGAAGCUUUGGGACAGCAUCAAACCCCUUGAUCAGACUUCACCUGAAGCCUGACCUUUGGCUAGGCCUUUCAGGGGCCUCAGACAAUUAAACAUUAUUUAUUACAUAA